ACUACGGGUGGCAGCAGUGAGGAAUAUUGGUCAAUGGGCGCGAGCCUGAACCAGCCAAGUAGCGUGAAGGAUGACUGCCCUACGGGUUGUAAACUUCUUUUAUAAAGGAAUAAAGUGAGGCAAGUGUGCCUUUUUGUAUGUACUUUCUGAAUAAGGAUCGGCUAACUCCGUGCCAGCAGCCGCGGUAAUACGGAGGAUCCGAGCGUUAUCCGGAUUUCUGGGGUUUAAAGGGAGCGUAGAUGGGUUUUUAAGUCAGUUGUGAAAGUUUGCGGCUCAACCGUAAAAUUGCAAUUGAUACUGGCAGUCUUGAGUACAGUUGAGGUAGGCGGAAUUCGUGGUGUAGCGGUGAAAUGCGUAGAUAUCACGAAGAACUCCGAUUGCGAAGGCAGCUUACUAAACUGCCACUGACAUUGAUGCUCGAAAGUGUGGGUAUCAAACAGGAUUAGAUACCCUGGUAGUC
rnacentral:rRNA from 1 species